GAUGAACGCUGGCGGCGUGCUUAACACAUGCAAGUCGAACGGAAAGGCCCAAGCUUGCUUGGGUACUCGAGUGGCGAACGGGUGAGUAACACGUGGGUGAUCUGCCCUGCACUUCGGGAUAAGCCGGGGAAACUGGGUCUAAUACCGGAUAGGACCACAUUUGGGAGGGGGUGGUGGAAAGUUUUUCGGUGUGGGAUGAGCUCGCGGCCUAUCAGCUUGUUGGUGGGGUAAUGGCCUACCAAGGCGUCGACGGGUAGCCGGCCUGAGAGGGUGUACGGCCACAUUGGGACUGAGAUACGGCCCAGACUCCUACGGGAGGCAGCAGUGGGGAAUAUUGCACAAUGGGCGCAAGCCUGAUGCAGCGACGCCGCGUGGGGGAUGACGGCCUUCGGGUUGUAAACUCCUUUCGCUAGGGACGAAGCGUUAUGUGACGGUACCUGGAGAAGAAGCACCGGCUAACUACGUG
rnacentral:rRNA from 1 species